rnacentral:rRNA from 1 species
GAUGAACGCUAGCUACAGGCUUAACACAUGCAAGUCGAGGGGCAGCACUAGGUAGCAAUAUUGAGGUGGCGACCGGCGCACGGGUGCGUAACGCGUAUCCAACCUUCCCGAUACUCUUGGAUAGCCUUCCGAAAGGGAGAUUAAUACAAGAUGGUGUUUCAAUUCCGCAUGUUAUUGAAACUAAAGAUUUAUCGGUAUCGGAUGGGGAUGCGUGACAUUAGAUAGUAGGCGGGGUAACGGCCCACCUAGUCUACGAUGUCUAGGGGUUCUGAGAGGAAGGUCCCCCACACUGGAACUGAGACACGGUCCAGACUCCUACGGGAGGCAGCAGGGAGGAAUAUUGGUCAAUGGUCGGAAGACUGAACCAGCCAAGUGGCGUGAAGGAUGAAGGUUCUAUGGAUUGUAAACUUCUUUUAUACGGGAAUAAAACACCUUACGUGUAGGGUCUUGUAUGUACCGUAUGAAUAAGCAUCGGCUAACUCCGUGCCAGCCGCCGCAGUAAAAC